GCCGGGGUAGCUCAAUCGGUAGAGCGUGUGGCUCUUAUAUGGGUUUCCGACCCAGAAAAAGGACACCUCAAGGUCGUGGGUUCGAGCCCCACCUUCGGCU
rnacentral:tRNA from 1 species